UUCCCGAGUGUUUGAAAAGUUGUCUCGGCAUAUUCUUUGAGUGGUUCCGGGCAUUAGCUAGGUGUGGGUUAACGCCUCCACAUGGCCAAUGAUACGUAGCGGACUUGAGGAGGGUAUUCGCCACAUUGGACUGGAGACACGGCCCAAACUCUACGGGAGGCAGCAGUAGGGAUCUCCACAUGACGAAAGUCUGAUGAAGCACGCGCGUGAGUGAGAUGGGUUUCGCUCGUAAACUCUGUCGUUAAAGAGACAUAUCUGAGAGUAACUGUCAGGUAUGACUGGUAUUUAUCCAGAAAGGCCACGGCUAACUACGUGCCAGCAGCCGCGGUAAUACGUAGAUGCCAAGCGUCGUCCGGAUUUAUUGGGCGUAAAGCGAGCGCAGGCGGUUUUUUAAGUCUGAUGUGAAAGCCUUCGGCUCAACCGAAGAAGUGCAUCGGAAACUGGGAAACUUGAGUGCAGAAGAGGACAGUGGAACUUCAUGUGUAGCGGUGAAAUGCGUAGAUAUAUGGAAGAACACCAGUGGCGAAGGCGGCUCUUUGGUCUGUAACUGACGCUGAGGCUCGAAAGUAUGGGUAGCAAACAUGAUUAGAUACCAUGCUAGUCCAUACUGUACACGAUGAUUGAUAAGUGUUGGAGGCUUUCCGCCUUUCCGUGCUGCAGCUAACGCAUUAAGCAUUCCGCAUGGGGAGUACGUCCGCAAGGCUGAAACUCAAAGGAAUUGACGGGGGCCCGCACAAGCGGUGGAGCAUGUGGUUUAAUUUGUAGCUACGGGAAGAACCUUACCAGGUCUUGACGUAUUAUGCAAAUAUAAGAGAUUAGACGUUCCAUUUGGGGACAUGGAUACAGGUGGUGCACAACAGUCGUCAGCUCGUGUCGUGAGAUGUUGGGUUAAGUCCCGCAACGAGCGCAACCCUUAUUAUCAGUGGCCAGCUCUAAGUUGGGCACUCUGGUGAGAGUGCCGGCGACAAACCGGUGGAAGGUGGGGAUGACGUCAUAUCAUCUUGCCCCUUAUGACCUGCCAACACACCCGUUACAACACAUGGUACAACGAGUUGCGAACUGACCAGAGUAAAGUAAUCUCUUAAAGCCUUUUUCAGUUCGGAUCCUAGGGGGCAAAUUGCUUACAUGAAGUUAGCAUCUGUUUGUAAUGGCGGAUCAGCAUGCCGCGGCAGGACGUUCCCGGGCAUUGUACCCACCGCCAUCACACCAAGAGUAGUUCUAACAGCCAGCAGUCGGCAGGUAACCAGUUAGGAACCAGCCGCACGAAUAGUGACAGAUCGG
rnacentral:rRNA from 1 species